rnacentral:rRNA from 1 species
UACGUAGGUGGCAAGCGUUGUCCGGAAUUAUUGGGCGUAAAGCGCGCGCAGGUGGUUUCUUAAGUCUGAUGUGAAAGCCCACGGCUCAACCGUGGAGGGUCAUUGGAAACUGGGGAACUUGAGUGCAGGAGAGAAGAGUGGAAUUCCACGUGUAGCGGUGAAAUGCGUAGAGAUGUGGAGGAACACCAGUGGCGAAGGCGACUCUUUGGCCUGUAACUGACACUGAGGCGCGAAAGCGUGGGGGAGAAACAGG